GCAGUCUCCCGGCCCGCCCGCAGUUCGGGGGCCGGAGCAGGGGAGGCCCGAGACUUUCGGGCUCUCGGGACACGGCGCUGUUCGGAGUGGCAGCCUCGGCCCCGCACGUACUGCUAGGAACCGGGAGGGCCCUGGGCAUCCCACGUGAGUUCCCCCAUAUCCCCGAGGAGUUGACUUAGGUCGGCACAUUUCUACCGGUUGCGCCCCUGGAGGCUGAACUCACCUGCUGGGGUCCCCGAGGCUAGAUAGCCUUGCUCAACUUAGCUGUGGCAGUGAACUUGGAAAUGUAUCUGGAUCUCAGAGGGAAAAGAUUCCAGGGAAAGAAACACUGGGGUGUCCCAGCACCUGACCUGACCUGAAGACCACAAUGAAUGGGGAAAAGGGAAUGUGGAGAACUUAGCUGGAGUCCGCGAGAAAACUGGGGACACGGCGUCCACACAGGGCUGAGGCUGCUGCAUAACUAGGAAGGCUAUGCAGGUGAACCCCAUAGCUGACCGCUUAGUAUCUGUGCGAUCUUUGGCACCUUUCUAGCCUCGCUGGGCCUGUAAGAUGGGGGUAACAAUAGCAUCUACCCAUCUGGCUGGUUUGAGGAUGUCAGUUUCUUCCCUUGCAAUCAGCUGACAAUAAUGUUUGUUUUGAUGAUCCCAGGAACUGCCGCGUGGCUGGUAUUAGAUUGUGUACACUCUUAAAAGUACUCAGUGAUCUAGGACCAGUCAAUAUGAAAGUGAGUUGACUUCUCUUCAUCCUUCCUCCUGCAGCAGCCUGAGAGAACUGUGGAUGCUUUCACACGGUGAACAAGCAAUGACGAGAGGCUAGGAUGGCUGCCAUCCUCGGAGGACCCACUGGUCCCAACUGCCCCCACGCUGAAAGAAAACCUCAGCCUGAUUAGUGCAGGAGGGGAAACGGGAAACAAAACCCAAGAAACAGGCAGAGAAAGCCUUGAGACAGGAAGGAAGUCGCUUCACCGAUGCUCAGGUUCCAAGAACAGCUGGUUCCCGUUCUGGCACUGUUUGGCGUUGGCUUGCCUGACGAGCCACCUGGACAACCUGAGUCCCCGUCUGGCCUUCGUGAACCAGCCUGUCUGCCUUGUGAUCCGCUUGAAGGCCCUGCAUGCCGCACAUACUCUAGAUGAAUAUGGAGUGCCUCAUAACCCCCAGGAGGGUACCCCAGCCACAGCAGACAUCAUGAGAGGCAGAGACACAGGUUUUCUAAAUUAAUUUGGUAGAUUCAGUGAUAUACCAAACAGAGAGGAGACUAAAAUGCAUCUUACUUUUGUAUUUAAGGAGGUCAGAAUUAUUUUAUUAACCAGACUGGUCCGUUGGGACUGAACCUCCUGCUUGUUGGAGAAGUACCUGGGCCACAGCUUGGCUGUAGGAAGACCAGCUUGCCAAAAUGAACAUCCUAAAUCAAAUCACCUCCUGCAACUCAGAGCAUUGGUGAACCGGGACUGAGGACGGCUUUUCUAUACUUCGUCCUUUGGUUCCUAAGUAACUGCCACAGACAGGAGCCUCCUUUCCCCUCACAGCUUCCCAGGGAAGAAGGCAGAUGUGGCUUCCUGCCUCUUCAAGGCCCCUCAUCCCCUAUUGAAGCAGACCCUGCCUCCGCCGCUGCAGCCCAUUUCCCCUUGGGCACCCCCGGGCAGGCCUGGUCACAGGCUCUCCUCCUGCAGCCCAGUUCCCAGGUUCCUCUGAUUGAUCAUCUUGGGUUUUCUCCUGAAGUGGCCUUCUCCACCCUGCAGCGUGCUGCUGCCCUACAUUGAGCAAAAGAAAAAUUAAGUCAGCAAGAGGUGGCAGCGGACUAAAGGCGGCUGGGGACCUAGCCAGUCUCCCAUCUCCCUUCUGUUUCUACUGUGUUUCUUUCUUCUAGAUUCUGCUCAGCUAACAGCAGUCUCCAACAAAUGUUUGUUGAAAGGAAGAAAAAGAAAGAAGGAAAACUGGGAAGUAAGAGAACAAAGAGAGUAAUAAAAGGAGGGGAUUAGAAAGAGAACUCAUGUGUUAUUAAAUAAAAUACCGCCUAAACAGCACCACAGGACCGCCAUAAGCAGCUUUAACCUCCUCCAAAUGUCCAACCCUAUGAUGGUAACUUCAGCACCUGGGCUCACUUUUAAGGCAUGGCGAAUGAGCCAAGAGAAGACUGGGUGGAGGUGAUAGGCCUGCACUCACUAGAGCUGAAGGUUUAGUUCUGUCUACAAAGAGAAGUCUGCUGCCAGGCUUCUGGACAAACGAGCGCCAGUUUGUCCUCCUCUGUCAGCCUUGUCCACUCAGGAGCUGUCCCUGUGCUCUGAAGGCAGGUGGGGAAGAAGCAGAACCACUCUGACUGGUCGACCGCACCUCACAGGCCUACUACAGUGACACCUAAGUCUGCCUCUCCUGCUGAUUCAGUCCCUGAAGCACCACACCCCUACUCCAGCUCAGCACCUUGCUUCCUGCCUUCUCAGGAGACAUUGUUGUAGGGCCUCUUGGGUCCUUGCCGCCCACCUGUGCUGCUCUGGAUUCCAAUCCCAGCCCUGUCAAGGACAUGCCUUCUUUAUCCUUAUUGUCAAAACUUCUAGAUGAUCCCGUGCACUGGCAGACCUCUAUUGAAAACUUCUCUUUCACCUACUUCCUGUUCUCCCUUCCCUUUAUGUAAAAUCCUGAAGAAGUUGCCUUGCCGCCUGGUCAGUUUCUACCCUGUUCUGACUUAAACCCACCUGUGUGAAGCCCCACCCUCAGAGCUUCCAACAAUUAUCACCAGUGGCCUCCGUGGUAAUAAACGUGUGUGUGUGUGUGUGUGUGUGUGUGUGUGUAUACACAUGUGCACUCACACUGUAGUGCAUGUGUGAAGAUCAAAGGACAAAUUACUGGAGGUUUCUUCUUCCUCCUCCUCCUCUUCCUUUCGAGAUAGGGUUUCUCUGUGUAGCUUUG